UACGUAGGGUGCGAGCGUUGUCCGGAAUUAUUGGCGUAAAGAGCUCGUAGGCGGUCUGUCGCGUCGAUCGUGAAAACUUGGGGCUUAACCCUGAGCUUGCGGUCGAUACGGGCAUGACUGGAGUUCGGCAGGGGAGACUGGAAUUCCUGGUGUAGCGGUGAAAUGCGCAGAUAUCAGGAGGAACACCGGUGGCGAAGGCGGGUCUCUGGGCCGAUACUGACGCUGAGGAGCGAAAGCGUGGGGAGCGAACAGG
rnacentral:rRNA from 1 species